rnacentral:rRNA from 1 species
GGUUAAAAAGCUCGUAGUUGGAUCUCGGCGGGCAGGGGGUGGUUCGCUCUUCAGCGCUACUGCCCCGCUUUGCCCGUGUGAUUGGCGGAGGUUUCGGGGUGCUCUUCGUUGAGUGACUCGGAGCGCCGUCAGGUUUACUUUGAAAAAACUAGAGUGCUCAAAGCAGGCUUUUCACGCUUGAAUAUUCGUGCAUGGAAUAAUGGAAUAGGAACUCGUUUCUAUUUUGUUGGUUUUCGGAAAUCGAGUUAAUGAUUAACAGGGACAAUUGGGGGCAUUAGUAUUCAGACGACAGAGGUGAAAUUCUUGGACCGUCUGAAGACUGACUACUGCGAAAGCAUUUGCCAAGAGUGUUUUCAUUAAUCAAGAGCGAAAGUUAGAGGUUCGAAGGCGAUCAGAUACCGCCCUAGUUCUAACCAUAAACGAUGCCAGCUAGCGAUCUGCCGAGUUUUUUUUGUAGGCUCCGCAGGAAGCUUUCGGGAAACCAAAGCUUUUGGGUUCCGGGGGAAGUAUGGUUGCAAAGCUGAAACUUAAAGGAAUUGACGGAAGGGCACCACCAGG